CAUGUCGAACUGGUUGAACCGGUCUUUCCAAUCUCUGUUGUUUGGAAUUAGGCAAUUCGCCAUUGUGGCCAGAAAAAGAAAAAGAAAAAAUAAAAGGGAAAGAGGAAAAAAGAAGAAGUCAUUGUAGUGACAAUUGAUCAAUCUCCAUCAUGCUUGUUUGUUUCUCGGCAUUUAUAACAAACAUCAUUUACUCUAUAUUCUCCUUUAUGCACUCCGCAAUGUGCUCCGAAUUUGAAUCUUUCUUUUCAGUUGAGCCUUCGUUUAUCCCAUGUACCAGAAAAAGCCCUUCAAUGCUCAAAUCCCAUCUACACCAGCUUUUCCACUCUCCGGUGCAUUGUAUGGAGGAAGUCUUUGUACAGUUUGUACAAUUUGAGUAUUACCCAAUUGCAGAACCCCCGAAAAAGUCUGUGUCUCAGUUGUACAGGAAUAUGAAAUACACACACACACGGGUGCAGGUAUAUAUGUGGUGACUAGAUUUGGAUGCUUAGAGUGAAGAUAUAGUGGACUAUAAGUUAUUUUUAUCUUAUACCUUUAGAUGGCCAAAAGUAUCCAAACUAUAUCAACUUGGCCAGGAAUCAACAAUAGUGGUUAUAGAAAAGGUUAUCUAUGAAUAACACCAGUGUAUUCAUAGAUGAAUUUUCACCACCAAAACCCAAUUGUGCAUCUAUCUGUGGCUCUUCUAGCAGAAAAUGACUAUCAUUUUUGCUCAUUUAGGUCUUUAAUAUAUGGAUGCACAUAAACAAUCGUGAAUGGUAGGGAUAUAGACUUGUACAGCAGACUAGUACAAGAACAAAUUAUUAUGGUAGUUUAACUGCAGCUAUUAUAUAAUGGAUGCUGGAUUACAGUGAUCUCAUUUGUUUUCUAAAUUUAACAAUUUUACUUGGUCACUAGGUUAAACUUAAAACAAAGGACCUGCUGUCUAUGCAUACCAUAAUCUUCCAUUACUGAAUAUGCAUGAUUUUGCUAUAUCCUUAUGUUUGGUCUUUUAUGAGAUGCAUCUGUAUAUCACAUAAUUUGUGGUCUUUUAGUAUGCAGAGCUUCUUCUUUCAGUUACAAAGUAAUCAUAUAUUUAUAGUAAUAGAAACAAACCUUUACAACUAUUAUUUAUAUAGUUUUAUUAAGAAUCAUUUCUUUCUUUCUAAUGAGACAAUAGGUUUGUGAGAGAUAUGUGUUAAAACAAAGAUUAUUUACUAUGUAGUACACUUUAUGAUCAGGAAAAUGAAAAAAAGAAAAGAUAGCACUCUACUCUGUUCUGAUGGACGUGUGCACCUGUGUUAAUAUUACUGUACACAAAAACAAAAGAGAGAGGAGAAAACUAGUAUACGCUGUUUUUUGCAUUUAUUAUUGUUAUCAUUAUUAUCAUUAUGGCAUGCAGGGAGUGCAAGGUAAAAUUAGGGAAUGUCAUUAAUGGUAGACACGGUUUUUUUAGAAAAGGUAGGAUUUACAUUGUACAAUUGGAUCAUACUAAAGCUUCCAUAAACCUCCUGUGCGUUAUGGGAAGUUUGAUAGAAAAUCAAACAUUUGCUCCCCCUUUAUUUUCUUGGGAUUCUUGCUCUCCUAACCUUAAAACCACGUGCCAGUUGUUGCAAUGCAUGAAGUCUUAAAUUGCCAGGUUGGCAGAAACAUUUGAUGCUUGACGAGCGUUAUAAGUUCCCAAAUCCUCGUUUCUCACUCUUCCAAGGAGUUCUACUUAUCUUUCUCCAAUCUUUCUCUCAAUGGCAGUGGUUUCUGUUUAUUAUGCUUGGUUAAUAGAUUUGGGAUGCCAAUAUUUUGAACUGGACUAGCGGGUAUGAGACGAAGAGGUUAAAGAGGAAUUUUAAAAUGGUUGAAAUUGGUGGCAUGCUUAUGCGAAAUAGGAAUGUUAGUUGGUUUGAUGUGGAAUCUACAGAAGAUAUCCUUGCCAAUAUUCUCUCAAGGGUUCCAGUUAACUCCCUUCUAGUUUUCAAGUCUGUUUCUAAACUCUGGUAUAGAUUGAUACACAGUCCAAAUUUCAUCAAGUUGCAGUUGAGCCAGACCCCAAAAAACCCCACUUACAUCAUCUAUCCGUACAUGGAUGAGGUAAUGAAUUUGUAUCUGAUGAAGAGCAAUGGGGAAAUCACUGAAAUGAUUACUCUUCGUGACUGUGAAAAUAUUUCUUCUCAGAGCCUGAUAUGCUCGUAUAGCGGAUUAAUCUGUUGUAUCAAUUAUCCCUUGAUUCCAAACUCAAACAUGGAUGAAGUGGAUUUGACAGACUUUGAGAUCCGUAUCUGCAAUCCCACUACUCGAGAAAUCUUUUUACUUCCAAAGGGUAGUCCAUCCGAAACGGAAAUAUCUAUUGGAGUUGCUUUUUGGCCCCAAACCACUGAGUAUAAAGUAUUUCGAUUUUUCCAUUCCAAACAUGAGUCCCAAGAUAUCCAUCUUGAGUGUGAGAUAUAUUCAUCAUGUACUGGAUCCUGGAGAGGCAUAGGAGUUGUCCAGCACCAUCCCAUGGGUUUCCGGCACUGCCCCUUGGGUUCAAAUCAUGUAUUUGUUAAUGGAAAAGUGUACUGGUUUGUUGCUUUAGAAGAAGAUCAAUACACACCUGGCACCAUUCUUUCAAUUGAUAUUGAGGAAAAUCUUAGAACCAUCAAUCUUCCAGAGGAAGUCACCGAGCACUCAUUCUUGGUUGAUCUUGAAGGUUGCUUAUCUCUAGUUGCUGUACAUGAUGGGGAUGAAGUUGUUAAUAUAUGGGUUCUGGAUGAUUCUAAUCAGCCUAAUUGGGAAAUAAAAUGUAGUGUUGAUACUGCCUUCUCAAGUAUGGAAUGUGUUGACUUCGUAACUGCACGAAAGAAUGAAGUUUUUUUCAUAACCACGGAGCAUUUUCUAAUCUAUAAUGUCGACUAUGGGACUUGGGUGGAACUUGAUUUAGCGGAUACUUUUGAAAGAAAUUCUCCUGUUGCUUUUCCUUAUACUGAAUCACUCCUCCCAUGUUGUGGACUCCUGGAUUCUGAACAAGAGGGUGACGAUUAAGAAAAAAAAUCGGUUGCAGUUCUGAAGGUCUUCUCCAUUGGCGAAACAAUAAUCGCAACAGGGGAAUUUGGAGGUCUGCCAUUGAGUGGCUUUUUGCCAUGGAAUAUGGAGGAUGGAUAGCUACUGAAUUAACAAAAUGCAAAAAAAAAAUCCUUGAGAAGGAAUUUUGCUGAAAAGAUACAUCCUUCCCCCAGGUACUCUGAGGGGUCCAUGAUAAAUUUACAGCUAGCUAAGACCGUCUUAGUUGCGUUGUACAACAUUUAAAGGUAAAAUUUCAUGUUUGUUUGUUUACCUCAAUGGACAAGCUGUCUCAAAGCUAAACAUGGGGAACAAAAACUUAGUUUCUUUCAAGGUUGUUUAUAUAUUUUAUUCGGUAGCUUGAACCACUAACAGAAAGCAGAUUUAUUGCUGUAGAUACUGUUUGAAGCCUUUAUUAUAUUACAUACCAUCCAUUCGGUGGAAAAUUA